GUGUCAGCAGCCGCGGUAAUACGUAGGAUCCGAGCGUUGUCCGGAUUUACUGGGUGUAAAGGGCGUGUAGGUGGGUCUCUAAGUCGGUGGUGAAAUCUUGCAGCUUAACUGUAAAAUUGCCAUCGAUACUGGAGGUCUUGAGUACGGCAGAGGGAAAUGGAAUUCAUGGUGUAGCGGUGAAAUGUGUAGAUAUCAUGAAGAACACCGGUAGCGAAGGCGGUUUCCUGGUCCGUAACUGACACUGAGGCGCGAAAGCGUGGGGAGCAAACAGGAUUAGAUACCCUGGUAGUCCACGCCUUAAACGAUGAAUACUAGGUGCUGGGCCGUAAGGUUCAGUGCCAAAGCUAACGCAUUAAGUAUUCCACCUGGGGAGUACGAUCGCAAGGUUGAA
rnacentral:rRNA from 1 species